AGAGUUUGAUCCUGGCUCAGGAUUAAUGCUAGCGAAAUGACUAAUACAUGCAAGUUGAACGGGAAGAGCAAUCUUUCAGUAGCGAACGGGUGAGUAAUAUAUACCUAACCUGCCUAUAUAUCAGAAAUAACAACUAGAAAUGGUUGCUAAUAUUUGAUAGUAUGGUAAGAAAACAAUUUUUUAUCAUUAAAGGGGCAAUUGCCUCGUAUAUAGAUGGGGGUAUACCACAUUAGCUUUGGCGUAAGGUAAUGGCUUACGUAGGCGAUGAUGUGUAGUUGGCCCGAGAGGGCGACCAGCCACACUGGAAUUGAGAUAAGGUCCAGACUCCUCCGGGAGGCAGCAGUAAGGAAUUUUUCACAAUGGACGAAAGUCUGAUGGAGCAAUUUCGCGUGCUCGAUGAAGGUCUUAGGAUUGUAAAGAGCUGUCGCAAGGGAAAAAAAGAAAGAUAAUUGGAAUGUAUCUUUUUUGAUGGUACCUUGCUAUUAGUUACGGCUAACUAUGUGCCAGCAGCCGCGGUAAUACAUAGGUAGCAAGCAUUAUCCGGAAUUAUUGGGUGUAAAGCGUGAGUAGGCGGUUUAUUAAGUCUAUGGUCAAAUAUCAAGGCUCAACCUUAGAUGUGCCAUGGAAACUAAUAGACUAGAACGUAAAGGAAGGUAGUGCAAUUCUGCAAGUAAUGGUGAUAUAUUUCGAUAUGCAGGAGAACACCUGAGGCGUAGGCGACUAUCUAAUUUAUUGUUGACGCUCAAUCACGAAAGUAUGGGUAUCGAAUAGCAUUAGUCCGCUAGUAGUCCAUACAGUAAACGAUGAGCACUAAAUAUUGGCAGUAUUGUCAGUCAUUAAAGUUAACACGUUAAGUGCUCCACCUGAGUAGUACGUUCGCAAGAAUAAAACUCAAAGGAAUUGACGGGGACUAGCACAAGUGGUGGAGCGUGUGGUUUAAUUCGAUUCUAAGCGAAGAACCUUACCAAGGUUUGACAUUUGGUGCAAAGCUAUAGAAAUAUAGUGGAGGCUAUCAUCAAACAGGUGGUGCAUGGUUGUCGUCAGUUCGUGUCGUGAGAUGUAAGGUUAAGUCCCAUAACGAACGCAACCCUUCUUUUUAGUUGCUACCAUUAAGUUGAGGAAUCUAAAAAUACAGUUAGCGUAAGCUAAACGGAGGAAAGGAUGAUGACAAAUCAUUAUGCCCUUUAUACCUUGGGCUACACACGCGCUACAAUGGUCAAUACAAUAAGUUGCAAACCAGCGAUGGGGAGCUAAUCUUUAAAAUUGAUCUCAGUUCAGAUUGAAGUCUGCAAUUCGACUUCAUUAAGUAGGAAUCACUAGUAAUCGCAAAUCAGCCACGUUGCGGUGAAUACGUUCUCUAGUCUUGUACACACCGCCCGUCAAACCAUGAAAGUUGAUAGUACUUGAAGCCAAUACUAAUAACCAUUUUUGGAUUUAUUUGUCUAGAGUAAGAUCAGCGAAUUGGGGUUAAGUCGUAACAAGGUAUCCCUAUGAGAACUUGGGGCUGGAUCACCUCCUU
rnacentral:rRNA from 1 species